AAUCAACGCUGGCGGCGUGCCUAACACAUGCAAGUCGAGCGCGAAAGGGGAGCAAUCCCCAAGUAGAGCGGCGAACGGGUGAGUAACGCGUGGGUAAUCUGCCUCCGAGUGGGGAACAACACCGGGAAACUGGUGCUAAUACCGCAUGACAUCGUUGGACCUUCGGAUCUGACGAUCAAAGCCGGGGACCGCAAGGCCUGGCGCUUGGAGAGGAGCCCGCGUCCGAUUAGCAGUUGGUGGGGUAAUGGCCCACCAAGGCUACGAUCGGUAGCCGGCCUGAGAGGGCGGACGGCCACACUGGGACUGAGACACGGCCCAGACUCCUACGGGAGGCAGCAGUGGGGAAUUUUCGCAAUGGGCGAAAGCCUGACGCAGCGACGCCGCGUGA
rnacentral:rRNA from 1 species